UACGGGGGGCAAGGCGUUGUUCGGAAUUACGUGGGACGUAAAGGGCUACGUAGGCGGCCAACUAAGGUCGGUAUGUGAAAUCCCCGAGGCUCAACUUGGGAACUGCAUCCGAUACUGGAUGGCUUGAAUUCGGGAGAGGGAUGCAGAAGUUCCAGGUGUCAGGCGGUGAAAUGACGUAGAUAUCUGGAGGAAUACCGGAUGGCGAAGGCGGCAUCCUGGACCCGACCAGUUGACGCUGAGGAGCGAA
rnacentral:rRNA from 1 species